UCAUCUGUGGAACGCCAUAUUAAAUUGUUACAUUUGGUGUUGAAGUUUUGUAGGCUGACUAACGUUGUCAGUUUAAUUCCUUAUUAAAUGAUAUAGCAUACGAUCAAACCUACUAUGCCAAUCAGAUGAAAUUAAAUAUAAACUCAUUCAGUCCUUUCACUGUACUGUCUGGUUUAGAAAACGAAUUUGGGUGACCAGAUAUACUGUCGUUGGUAAGAUUGUUUGCUGGUUGGUAGCCUCUGCCGAGUCCCCUUCAACCGAGGGGUCCAGCUGCGACAUAAUCUCUGAGCAGUCAUCUCUCAUGAUCUCUAUGCUGCCACCUACUGAUAUGUAAUCUCUCAGGAAAAGUGGGGGAUUCGAACGGAACCAUAGAGUGCUUGCAGUUGCGUCACAAAUCACCUAGCAACCCCAAACUUCGUGUUGGAAGACCAAACUCACAUGCUGACCAGAUAGCUCGCUCGCCAUUGCACGCAUGUUGUUUUUGUCCACGCACACCAGACACGACCAGGACACGCAGGUUGAAAUAUCAAAACAAAUUCUGAACCAAAUAUAUUAAUUUGGGGACCGGUCAAAAAGCAAACAUUUAUGGCAAUUUAGCUAGCUGUUGCUAAUAACAACCCAAUGUUUGUAUCCCAGGACAAAUUAGCUAGCUAGCAAUUGCUAGCUAAUUUGUCCUGGGAUACAAACAUUGGGUUGUUAUUUUACCUGAAAUGCACAAGGUCCUCUACUCCGACAUGUAAUCCACAACAAUUAAUCUGCAGAUAAAAGGGUAAACCAAGUUUGUUUCUAGUAAUCUCACCUCCUUCAAGAUGCUUCUUCUUUGGACUUUAUAUUGUGGUUGGCAACCAACUUUAAGGUGCAUUACCACUACCAACUGGACUGGAGUGUGGACCUCAAUUCAUCUUUAAGUCACACACGUGGGUAUAUGCUCCUAAAAACCAAUGAGGAGAUGGGAGAGGCAGCACGUCAAGCGUCACAAAUAAAACCAAUAUCUAUUUUAGUGCAAGCACUCAUUGAUGUGCGCAAGCAGUGUGGGUGAAAUGAUUGAAUAACAUGUAUGCGACGUGAGCGGUGUGGUCAGUCUGUUGAAAGUUCUCCAAUUGUCCAAAUGGCUUGCUGUGUUUUGCAACCACCAUGAACAUUGGAAAGAUUGCCCGUUAUUUUGUUUUUCAAGGACCCAGAAAACAGGUGGGGUAGAACCUAUUCAAAUACAGAGAGCUGUCAAAUCCUUGUCUGCAGAUGAAGAGCUCACAAGAGAAUAAGGGUACAUCCUUGUAUACCAUGGAUAUAUGUUAGCAAAUUUUGUCAACAAAAAUAGUUUAAAAGCCACGCAAUGUAUAAACCUAUUACAACUGGAGCAGGCCAACUUUGCUGGGUGUGCAAGGCUUCUAUUCCAGCCCAGCACUAAUGCACCUUAUUCAAUGUAUCAAACCUAAUUAGUUAAUCAAGUGAGCUACUGCUGGACUGGAGCAGAACUCUGCACACCCAGUAGACAGGGAUCGGUGGAGCGAGGUUGGUAUUGACAUUUCCACCCCCGAAAUUGUUUUAGUAAUGGUAGCCUACUUGUUGCUAAAAUGUCUACACGUUUACAUAUGGAUUAGCUUUCUUGUACACUUUGAAAUUAUAUGAAAGUGUUGAUUCUUUGAAGUGAAGCGUUGUUGAAACUUGUUUUAAUUGUUAACUUAACUAUUAUUCAGGAUGAACUAUCGCUUAUGUUGAUUUAAUCACAGAUCGCAAUCCAGCAAUAAAGAGGGGAAGGGAAUCUGUCUCUAAUUUGUCUGUUCCUGUGUUGUAUUCUCAAAUUAACAUCACCUUUCUGUUUAGUCAUAAAUUCUCCAAUUAGUUUUAUUUGAUUGCCACAAUGUUUUCAGGAUAUCAGCCAUGUGAACCCAUUUUUUAAAUGUCAUGCAAUGCCAAUGCAGCCAAAGGCCUACAGCAGUGGUUCCCAACUCUAGUCCUUGAGUACCCCCAAUAGCAAGCACUUUUUCUGUAGCCCCUGACAACAUACUGAUCCAACUCAUUGAGGGCCUGAUGAUUAGUUGAAUCAAGUGUGUUUGCUGCUACAGUAAAACUGUACUGUUGUGGGGUACUCGGGGACCAGAGUUGGGAACCACUGGCCUACAGUAUGAUGGCAUUAAAGCAAAUUUAUGCAUGAUCUGAAAAUGUGGUCGAAGGCAUCGUUUGGAUGAUAUGACACAAUGUGUAGCCUCCGGAGGUACGCAGAGGCCAACUUGAGCUCCGUACCGCCAUGCACCUCUCAAAUUUUGUAACAAUGUGGAGGGCUCCGUAUAACUCUGCAUUGACAUGAUUGGUAGGUGAGGGCGGGCGGGAGGUCCUGUAUAAACACACUCACUUCCUUCACAACAGCUCUGCUCCACGUACCGCAAGAAUGAUGAAUGCCCCGACUUCUGCAGAGGCCGUGUCAGCGUAAAAGCUGCAUGGCCAAUGCAGAUGUCGGAUUGACCAUGUAGUGCCUUUAAGCCUCAUGGGCGUUUGCAAUCCACCCCUUGACAUUGUCCAUCUGAAGCAGAAAAUAGCUUAACUCACACUGUUUACAUAUUGUUCAGCUAUAUGUUCUCAAUUUAAAAACGAUACCAGUAGACAAUGUAUAUGUGGCUAAUCAUUAUACUAGAUUUUGUACAUGACGUGUACUGAUAUUACAUUUUUGGUUAAAAAAAAUCCAACCCUUGUAAUCUAGGUGGUGAAAUGUCUGAAAGCUGGUGAUAAGAUCCUUAGCUUAAAACACACACAAUUACUACUACCAAGUUCAAUGCCAGAUACUUUUCUCCAAGAAGAUCUGAGUGGCACUUAGAGGUGCCACUGUGAUAACUACAACAAUUACAUUGUCAAUGCUAAAUGUGUUUUUAUGGGGCUAGGCAAAGCAGAGAUGACAAUGAUUUUCUUUCACCCAUACAAUAAUAUUCGCUAUAAUUAAAGUACAGUAUGUUUACAAUAGUCUUUCACAUGUUCCAAAUUAUAUUUUAGAUAUUCAUACGGUUUAAGGGGGCACUUUUGUCCUGACGACAAGAUAAAGGUGCUCUACUCAUGGCACAACCGACUCGCUCAGAUUUGACCAAAGUGCUUCAUAUAACAACCAUCUCGUAUAAUUGGAGGAACGUCUCCUUUCAUAUCUGGAAAAGGACCAAGUAGUAGAAACUAAUGCUGCUGCAGCACUGCACAUCUUCACAGUGGGAAUCCAGUCGACAUGGGUGUCUUGAUAAAGGUUAGCUGCUGAACCUACAGUAGUACAUAAUCAAAUGAAUCACGGUUGAUGAAUCAACUAGUUUUAGGUUCUGUUAUCAUGCAGUUUGCGGUAGUCACUCGGGUGAUAAUUAAUGCGUUGCUCUUCCUACAUGGCCGUCAGGAGCCGCCGUACAUCAACUGCAAGCCCUCUAUAUAAGGAGAAGUGGGCGUUUCAAAAGUUGCCACUCAACGUUAUUUGGGUUAUCGGACGUUAGUCUGCAGAAAUGACCGUAUGUAAUUUCAGUAAUUAAAAAAAUGAUGUAUUCACUAAUUGUGAGCUGUGUCUUUGAAUGUUACGUCCAUGGCUACCGGUAGGUAACUUAGUUUUUUUGUAAAUGAGCUAACAUUAGCUACAUUUUUUAUUUAAAAAAAUCAUACAUUCUACUAUUUUAUUAAUCAAUAUUUUAAAUAAUAAUAAUAGAAAUAUCAAGUCAUGGCGGUUCUAGUAGUUAUGGAAUUCCAGCGCUUCUAGUGAUAAGACUCCUUGAAAAACCCCACUUCUCCUUAUAUGGUUCCUUUCACACCCCCACUUUUCCUGAGAGAUGCACUGCGCUAAGAGAUGACAUAUCAGUAGGUAGCAGCAUAGAGACCUGAGGGAUGACUGCUCUGAGAGAUGAUGUUGCAGCUGGACCCUAUUGCAUCAACUGGAUGUUUGAGUUUUCAGGGGAAAUGGAAAGAGAGCCUGUGACGUGACUUCCGCUUUUGGACAUAAACAAGACGACACUCCAUCGUAAACUCUUUCUCCACAUUUACUCAAUUGGUUGAACAGUGUAGUAGAAAACCUCCUAAGACAGCUAUUUAAAUAUUUUUUUUAUCUUCUCGUCAAGACCAGUACACUGAACAUGCCCUCCAAGGACCACCCAUGGCUGCACCCCUGCCCAGCCAUGUAACAUCCAGGAAUGUAUUUAAAUUGGCUGAUUUCCUUAUAUGAACUGUAACUCAGUAAAUUAUUUAAUUGUUAUUUUUUAAAUAUUUUUGUUAAGUAUAGUUUCAGGGUUUCUUUUACGCCUGCUAUGUUAGCUUAGCCAGUUGGUAAACGUUUUGCAGAUGUCUGUCAUAGGCAGGUGGAAGGCCCAUCAGGUGUGCCUCAUCUGGAGCCCGUGAGAGACUGGCUGGCUGUGUGUGUGUUUGGAGGUUGCCUGCCUGCCUUCCACAGAAGGAGUUAUUGAGUGGUGCUCACUGUAGUCUCGCUCAAUAAUCAGAUCAGCCACAAAGUCAGUUAACUAUAACCAAUGGGCAGCUGCUUUGAGAGUAAUGGUUGUUGGCAUACUUUUGAGCUGUUAACAUUGAAACCAACCAUGAUUGGAGAUGGAUAUGAUUUGUGCUGUCUGCUUUCUUAGCACUCAUUCGACACAGUCUGGUGGAUCGGCAUGUUUUCUGACGAACAGGAUGACUGCUUACGAGAGUAUGGGAAUCAAGAGGCCAUGUCAUUAGGUUAAUAAGGUCCACCUUAUUCUUAUCAGUUUAACAUCAAAUUUUAAAGCUGCAACGUUUUGUGCGACCUGACCAAAUUCACAUAGAAAUGUGAGUUAUAGCGCUGUCGUUCUCAUCGAAAGCAAGUCUAAGAAACGGUAGAUCUGUUCUAUGUGCGCUAUUUUUAUACUCCCCGGUCUUUUUUACGUCUUUUUAUUUACACCUUCAAACAGCUGAAAAUACAGUAUUUUUGGAUAUGGAAAAUAGAUUUCACAAAUGUAUUACUCUACACUAUAAUUGCUUGUCUUGUAACAACUGAAUUAGGCUAUUAGAAUUUUAGCAACCACGAAAUGGUAGAGCAAUUUCUGCAUAGUUCUGCUUUAAUCUGUAUUUGGUGUCUUAAAUGAGGCGUGGUAGAUAAAUGAUGCAUAGAUUAAUAAAAUUGCCUACUUCCUCCAAAGGACACUGUGCUGUGUUUUUAGGGGGAAAAAAGGAUACAUUUUGCACACACCAAAUGACACGUGUGUUAAUGUGGCUCGAGAGUGGAGCCAAAGGUAGGAUACAGCUGCCGAUAGCUCUUGAUCAUGACUCUCCGUUCCAUUACUUCACACGUAAGAACCAUUGGACAAAGGCGUCUUCUGUACAAGGGAGUUUUGUUAAAAGGUCCGACGCUCGGUCUGAACAUUAACACGCAUUGCUUGUGGUAGGGUUUUGGAUGCAUAAGGGUGUUUUAAUCAGCAAGACUAAAAUGGCAUGAAGGUUAACUUGAUAUACACCUUUCUAGGGUUAGUGUUCCCACAGGGCCAUAUCUCCAUGUUACAGCAAGGGUGUACGGAAGACCGAGGGACCACCGGUGCAAAUUAGCUAUCUAGCAUGCGCCGAACACCUGUGGCCGCCAGAAGGUGUCACUGAAAAAUACUGUUGGCUGCAACUGUGGUAAAGCUGGUUAAACAUUUGUGAAAUUAUUUUGAUGUGGUAUGAAAGGGCUUUAUGUUUCUAGAAUUGUUUUGCAAUUGAGAAUCAAUCCACAUGUGAAUGGAAUAUUUGGCUGUUUUGGCUGCCGGAGCCAGUCUACCAAAGUAUUCACAACCCUUUUUCCCCCACAUUUUGUUGUUACAACCCAAAUUUAAAUAUAUUAAAUAAAAAUGUUGUCACUGGCCUAUGCACAAUACUCCAUAAUAUCAAAGUGGAAUUCUGUUUGUAGACAUUUUUUACAAAUUUAAAAGCUAAAAUGUCUUGUGUCAAAUAUUCAACCACUUUGUUAUGGAAAGCCUAAAUAAGUUUAGGAGUAAACAUUCGAGCAGUGAAUUUCAAACAGUUUCAACCACAAAGACCAGGGAGGUUUUCCAAUGCCUCGCAAAGAAGGGCACCUUGGUAGAUGGGUCAACAUUUUUUAAAGCAUAUGUUGACUAUCCCUUUGAGAAUGGUGAAGUAAUCAAGUAUGCUUUAGGAUGUUGCAGCAAUACACCCAGUCACUACAAAGAUACAGGUGUCCUUCUUAACUCAGUUGCCAGAAAGGACAGAAACCACUCAGGGAUUUCAACAUGAGGCCAAAUGGUGACUUUAAAACAGGAACAGGAGUUUAAUGGCUAUGAUGGGAGAACUGAGGAUGGAUCAACAACAUUGUAGUUAUUCCACAAUACUAACCUAAAUCACAGUUUGAAAAGAAGGAAACCUGUACAAAAAUUAUAUUCCAAAAUAUGCAACCGGUUUGCAAUAGAGCACUAAAGUAAAACUGCAAAUCCAACACAUCACUGAGUACCACUCUUCAUAUUUUCAAGCAUGGUGGUGGCUGCAUCGUGUUAUGCGUAUGCUUGUCAUCGGCAAGGACCAGGGAGUGUUUUAGGAUACAAAAACCGAAUAGAGCUAGGUAUCGGCAAAAUCCUAGAGGAAAACAUGGUUGUCUGCUUUCCAACAGACACUGGGAGACAUUCACCUUUUCAGCAGGACAAUAACCUAAAACACAAAGCCAAAUACACACUGGAGUUGCUUACCAAGAUGACAUUGAAUGUUCCUGAGUGACCUAGUUAGUUUAGUUUUGGCUUAAAUCUUCUUGAAAAUCUAUGGUAAGACUUAAAUGGUUCUCUAGCAUUGAUCAACAAUCAGCUUGACAGAGCUUGAAGACUUUUUCAAAUAAUUAUUUGCAAAUAUUAUACAAUCCAGGUGUGCAAAGCUCUUAGACAUACCCAGAAAGACUCACAGCUGUAAUCGUGAUUCUAACAUGUAUUGAUUGACUCGGGUUUGAAUACUUAAGAAAAUGUGAUAUUUCUGUAUUUCAUUUUCAAUAAAUUUGAACAGAUUUCUAAAAACA